rnacentral:rRNA from 1 species
GUUUACAGCUAUACCACCCUCAACGAGCCGAAUCUCGUCUGAUCUCGGAAGUGAAGCAGGGCCGGGCCUGGUUAGUACUUGGAUGGGA